rnacentral:rRNA from 1 species
GAUUAAGUUAUUAAGGGCGCACGGUGGAUGCCUUGGCACUAGAAGCCGAUGAAGGACGUUACUAACGACGAUAUGCUUUGGGGAGCUGUAAGUAAGCUUUGAUCCAGAGAUUUCCGAAUGGGGAAACCCAGCAUGAGUUAUGUCAUGUUAUCGAUAUGUGAAUACAUAGCAUAUCAGAAGGCACACCCGGAGAACUGAAACAUCUUAGUACCCGGAGGAAGAGAAAGAAAAUUCGAUUCCCUUAGUAGCGGCGAGCGAAACGGGAAGAGCCCAAACCAACAAGCUUGCUUGUUGGGGUUGUAGGACACUCUAUACGGAGUUACAAAGGACGACAUUAGACGAAUCAUCUGGAAAGAUGAAUCAAAGAAGGUAAUAAUCCUGUAGUCGAAAAUGUUGUCUCUCUUGAGUGGAUCCUGAGUACGACGGAGCACGUGAAAUUCCGUCGGAAUCUGGGAGGACCAUCUCCUAAGGCUAAAUACUCUCUAGUGACCGAUAGUGAACCAGUACCGUGAGGGAAAGGUGAAAAGCACCCCGGAAGGGGAGUGAAAUAGAACCUGAAACCGUGUGCUUACAAGUAGUCAGAGCCCGUUAAUGGGUGAUGGCGUGCCUUUUGUAGAAUGAACCGGCGAGUUACGAUUUGAUGCAAGGUUAAGCAGUAAAUGUGGAGCCGUAGCGAAAGCGAGUCUGAAUAGGGCGUUUAGUAUUUGGUCGUAGACCCGAAACCAGGUGAUCUACCCUUGGUCAGGUUGAAGUUCAGGUAACACUGAAUGGAGGACCGAACCGACUUACGUUGAAAAGUGAGCGGAUGAACUGAGGGUAGCGGAGAAAUUCCAAUCGAACCUGGAGAUAGCUGGUUCUCUCCGAAAUAGCUUUAGGGCUAGCCUCAAGUGAUGAUUAUUGGAGGUAGAGCACUGUUUGGACGAGGGGCCCCUCUCGGGUUACCGAAUUCAGACAAACUCCGAAUGCCAAUUAAUUUAACUUGGGAGUCAGAACAUGGGUGAUAAGGUCCGUGUUCGAAAGGGAAACAGCCCAGACCACCAGCUAAGGUCCCAAAAUAUAUGUUAAGUGGAAAAGGAUGUGGCGUUGCCCAGACAACUAGGAUGUUGGCUUAGAAGCAGCCAUCAUUUAAAGAGUGCGUAAUAGCUCACUAGUCGAGUGACACUGCGCCGAAAAUGUACCGGGGCUAAACAUAUUACCGAAGCUGUGGAUUGUCCUUUGGACAAUGGUAGGAGAGCGUUCUAAGGGCGUUGAAGCAUGAUCGUAAGGACAUGUGGAGCGCUUAGAAGUGAGAAUGCCGGUGUGAGUAGCGAAAGACGGGUGAGAAUCCCGUCCACCGAUUGACUAAGGUUUCCAGAGGAAGGCUCGUCCGCUCUGGGUUAGUCGGGUCCUAAGCUGAGGCCGACAGGCGUAGGCGAUGGAUAACAGGUUGAUAUUCCUGUACCACCUAUAAUCGUUUUAAUCGAUGGGGGGACGCAGUAGGAUAGGCGAA